rnacentral:rRNA from 1 species
ACCGGCAGCCAUAUCACCCUGUAGCCCAAGACUGGUUGCCCACUGAAGCCAAGCAGGGUUGAGCUGGUCAGUACCUGGAUGGGAGACCUCCUGGGAAAACUAGGUUGCUGCUGGAA